rnacentral:rRNA from 1 species
UGCAUCGAUGAAGAACGCAGCGAAAUGCGAUAAGUAAUGUGAAUUGCAGAAUUCAGUGAAUCAUCGAAUCUUUGAACGCACAUUGCGCCCCCUGGCAUUCCGGGGGGCAUGCCUGUUCGAGCGUCAUUACACCACUCAAGCCUGGCUUGGUAUUGAGCGCCGCGGCCUGCCCGCGCGCUCCAAUGUCUCCGGCUGAGCCGUCCGUCUCUAAGCGUUGUGAAUAGCGAUCGCUUGCGAGGCCCGGGCGGUUCGACGCCGUUAAACCCCCCAUUUUCUAUGGUUGACCUCGGAUCAGGUAGGGAUACCCGCUGAACUUAAGCAUAUCAAUAAGCGGAGGA